rnacentral:lncRNA from 1 species
CACACACUUCUGCCCCUUUCAAUGCUCUAUUCACUCAAAUUACUUAAUACAGUUGAACUGUACAGGUUCUUAAUCAAGAAAACAAUAAUCCUUAAUGCUAGGCAUUGCCAUAGACAUAAUCAAUUCACAGCAAAAUGUGCCACAGCCUGGAAGCAGCAAACUAACUGGGGGGUGAAGAUCAACUUGUGAAGGUGGAUACAGCAGGAGAGGGAGCCGUUUAUUGUAGGACAGUAGGGGUAUAUCUACAUAAUUAAGAACAAGUUGUGUAUUCAGUUAACAAAAACUAGGUAUAACAGUCAACCAAUAAGGAAUCAUCAUCUUAAUGAUUACACACAGCUUAACUUGAUUGACAUAAUCUAGACACAGCAGUCACUCAUUAAGGAAUCUCUAUCAUCUUAAUGGCUUGCUGGCCUUACUUCUCAACCACUGCUGGGAGCCAUUAGCCAAGUAGGUAUGACAAUUUCCUUGCCAGCGUACCCCAUGUUGCAGUGACAUUGAAUGUACGUGACCUUGCUCAAGGACCAAGGCAGAUUAGGGUGUUCCUGGUUUUAAGAUAAUGGUGUUUAGGGCGUUCCCAGUUUAGGUUCCAGGUUUAAGGUUUAAGAUUAUUCCUGCUGGGAAUAGGGCGUAUCCUGCUGCCUGAGUUCC